UACGGGGGGGGCAAGCGUUGUUCGGAAUUACUGGGCGUAAAGGGCUCGUAGGCGGCCCACUAAGUCCGACGUGAAAUCCCCAGGCUUAACUUGGGAACUGCGUCGGAUACUGGUGGGCUUGAAUCCGGGAGAGGGAUGCGGAAUUCCAGGUGUAGCGGUGAAAUGCGUAGAUAUCUGGAGGAACACCGGUGGCGAAGGCAGCGCCCUGGACGAGACCUGACGCUCAGGCACGAAAGCUGGGGGAGCAAACAGG
rnacentral:rRNA from 1 species